rnacentral:sRNA from 1 species
CUUCUCUGAUAUCAUCCCUCAGCACUGAUGUUCUCAUGGGAGCAGUGCCGUGUCUGCAUGGUUUCCCAUCUGGAGAAUCCAGUCACCAUUUGUCUGGGAAGUAGGAAUUGGACAGUUCAGGAAGUCACUUCACAGAGCCAGCUCAGUAACAGGAUUUCUGAUUCAGUUCUGAAACCUUUUUUCAGCAACUGGGAAUGGAAUCUGUAUCCUUGUAAAAAUUUUUAUGUUUUUGACUAUUUUCAUUCAUUAUUCAUGAAAGAUUCAACCAGAGAGGCCUGGCUAGAUUGAUUUAUUUGUUCAAAAACAUUUAAUACAUACUUUGAGUAAGUGUUUCUUAUGGA